GAGGAGCAACCUGCCAUUUGGAUAUAUCCCAGCUGUGUUUGUGCCCUCACUCAUGGUCCAGACUUUUUUCAAAUAGGACAUGAAGUUUGUCUGCAGCGAGUGUUUUGGUAGAAACUGCGCCUCCCAUUCAUUAUAAUGGGAAAUGACCACAGACAAGUGCGCACACCAUCUUUGGACCUUGAGUGUGACGCGAUCGGGAGGGGUAGGCGGUCACGCUGGGGGCGGCACGACGCGGCUCGGGCCCGACAGUGCCCCACCGGGGCCCUAGUUUCUUCUUUUUCCUCCCCUUUGAACUGGAAAAUGGCCCACUUCCCACUGGCGAAAACUCAUGAAAUUUGGCAGGACGACCGGGCCUGGUGAAAAAUUCGAUAUUCUGAAGUCGCCCAAACAAUAAAAUGCAAAAUGGCUCCAUAGCGCCCCCUAAGGUGGAAAUUCACACUAUUGACUGUCACGCCUGUACGCUUUGUCAAAAUGACACAAAAAUUGACACACAUAUGUAUCUCAAUAAGAUCUACAAAAAAGUCAGUGCGGCCGUAUCUGUCAAAAUUACGGUUAAAGGGUUAUUUCGCAUUUUUUGCCGAUCCGCACACAUUGGAAUUUCGCUAACUCCUCCAAAGGCUUUCGUUCCACCGGCACCACAUUUGCUCAGGCCAAUCUACACCCCGUGGCCAUUAAAAGUUAUCAAAAUCAUGACGCUGCACCCCAAGGUUUAGGUUCUAGGGGGCGCCAAAGAUAACCCUAAAAUCCACAUUUUUAAAAGUCUUAUAACUUUUUAUUUUUGUCCUCACUGGCCUCCAAGUUUUCUAGGAUGAUGCAAUGUCCAGCCAUCAACACAUUUGUGAAGGAAUUUUUACUCCCCAAAAGAGCGCCCCCCCAUGGCAGGAGAAAAAAGUCCAUUUUUUCUUGUCCCCUAAGGUGAAAAUACACAUUGUUGAGUGUCACGCCUAUACGCUUUGUCAAAAUGACACAAAAAUUGACACACACAUGUAACUCAAUAAGAUCUACAAAAAAGUCAGUGCGCGCGUAUCUGUCAAAUGUACAGUUAAAGGGUUAUUCCGCAUUUUUUGCCGAUACGCACACAUUGGAAUUUCGCUAACUCCUCCGAAGGCUUUCGUUCCACCGGCACCACAUUUGCUCAGGCCAAUCUACACCCCAUGGCCAUUAAAAGUUAUUCAAAUCAUGAUGCUGCACCCCAUGGUUUAGGUUCUAGGGGGCGCCAAAGAUAACCCAAAAAUCCACAUUCUUAAAUGUUUUAUAACUUUUUAUUUCUGUCCUCACUGGCCUCCAAGUUUUCUAGGAUGAUGCAAUGUCCAGCCAUCAACACAUUUGUGAAGGAAUUUUUACUCCCCAAAAGAGCGCCCCCCCAUGGUAGGAGAAAAAAGGCAAUUUUUUCUUGUCCCCUUACAUAAAAAGACACAUUGUUGAGUGUCACGCCUGAACGCUUUGUCAUAUUGACACAAAAUUUGACAAUCAUGUGUAUCUCAAUUAGAUCUACGAAAAAGUCAAAGAGCGCAUAUCUGUAUAAUGUACGGUUAAAGGGCUAUUUUGCAUUUUUUGCCGAUUCGCACACAUUGGAAUGUGGCUAUCUCCUCCUAAGGCUUUCGUCCCACCGAUACCAAAUUUGCUCAGGGCUAUCUACACCCCAUGCCCAUUCAAAGUUGUAAAAAUCAUGACGCUGCACCCCACGGUUUACGUUCUAGGGGGCGCCAAAGAUGACCCAAAAAUCCACAUUCUUAAAAGUCAUUUUGGCCACUGCAGGAGUACAGAGUACUGCAGUUCUAGGGGGCGCCAAAGAUGACCCAAAAAUCCACAUUCUUAAAAGUCUUUUUGGCCACUGCAGGAGUACAGAGUACUGCAGGAUACACACACAUAUACACACACGCCAACAUACACACACACACACACACAGACACACACACACAAUCAGAGUCUGUUUUUUAGCACCUGCAAAAACAUGCUGUUUACAUAUUUGACAAGAAUGCAGAGGCUUCCUUUUGCCCCUGAAAAAAAUCAAAUUUCAAACACAACUUGACUGUUCAUUUCUCCAAAAGACAACCAUGAAGCUCCAUUUCAAACCUGAAGCAGAUAGUUGGUGCAUGUGUACAGUAACCUGAGGGGAGUGAGGUGACUAUUUCUGAGGAGAACAUGAGCAGUGAAGAUUCACCUUGGAGCUAGAACAGGGACGUGCACAUGAUUAUACAGGGGCAGGGGCUCAAGUUUUUUCCAGUCAUUUAUACAAUAUGGAAAUUAAUGUGAAAUUAAACCACAAAUAUGUGUGAUGAACUGUUUUUAAAACUUAAACUUCAAAUAAAAAUUGUAAACUUCAAAACAUAUGCAAAUUUUUAACAAAGAACAUAGUAAUUUACCUCUAUUUACAUCAAAAUGCAGGCAAUGGCCCAGGCGUUCUUUGUAAAAUUAUUUACAAAACACUGUAUAGUCUCACAAAUGUCACUUUUUAUUUAUGCCACUACAAAAAAACAUGAUGUAAAUGAUGCAUGAUGUAAAACAUGAUGUAAAAAACUUGUGUAGAUCCUCCUCUAUGUCAGUCCAUGUGUAAUUUUUCCAUAAUUCUUUGUUUUUUGCAGCAUUUUUGUUAGUGUAACUGCAGAUUGUGCUGACAGUGUCUAUGGCACAAAAAAAAAAAAAAAAUUUUUAAUGCCUCAACAUGAACCCGUGGUGGUCUCUGAGGGUGAAACCUGCUAACUGCUGCAGCUCUGUCAGCUUCAGUCUCCCAUGCAGAGCUCUGAGCGCAUGUGUGGCUCUGCACCCUUAGCAGCGUUGCUAACUCCUCAGUAUGGAAAGCCUGCUUCAUGUCAGAGUCUCUAAACUCCAGAAGAAGUCGAUAAAAGUCCCUUUCUUUCUAAAAAAAAGUCGUUAGGGGGUCUGAAAAGUCAUUGAAUCUAACAACAAAGUCGCUAGGUUUGCAACUACGUGUCCCAGACUGCA